rnacentral:lncRNA from 1 species
AGAAAGCUGAUGCAAUGACCUAGGGUAAAAGUCAGAUCAAGGAACCAGAGAGACCACUUCCUCCCUUAGGUCCUGUGGCAGUUGUUCCUAUAGGUUGUGUCACCAUAGCCAUCCAUGCCAAACCUGGCUCCAAACAAAAUACUGUAACAGAUUUGACAGCACAGUUGGUAAAUGUGGCUAUUGCAGCACCUCCAUCAGUGGGGGAGGAUAAUGCUGAGCUUUGUAGCUUAUCUGUCCAAGGUCUUAGAACUCAGGAAGAGUGAUGUGGUUUUGGAUACGGGUGGUACAUCGCUGAAAAGGUAGUGAAGCUUUUGGCCUCCACAACUCCAGAAGAAAUCUUGAGGAAAUUUAAAAAGAAAGCUGAAAAAC